GACGGAGGAGGCAAGCGUUAUCCGGAAUUAUUGGGCGUAAAGGGUACUUAGGCGGCUGGUCAAGUCUGGGGUUAAAGGCCACAGCUCAACUGUGGGAAGGCCCUGGAAACUGACUGGCUAGAGUGAGGUAGGGGUUGCGGGAAUUCCCGGUGUAGCGGUGAAAUGCGUAGAGAUCGGGAAGAACACCUGAGGCGGAAGCGCGCAACUGGGCCUCAAGUGACGCUGAGGUACGAAAGCUAGGGGAGCGAAUGGG
rnacentral:rRNA from 1 species